rnacentral:rRNA from 1 species
ACGGGAGGCAGCAGUGGGGAAUAUUGCACAAUGGGGGAAACCCUGAUGCAGCGACGCCGCGUGAGUGAAGAAGUAUUUCGGUAUGUAAAGCUCUAUCAGCAGGGAAGAAAAUGACGGUACCUGACUCAGAAGCCCCGGCUAACUACGUGCCAGCAGCCGCGGUAAUACGUAGGGGGCAAGCGUUAUCCGGAUUUACUGGGUGUAAAGGGAGCGUAGACGGUAAUGCAAGUCAGAAGUGAAAGCCCAGGGCUCAACCUUGGGACUGCUUUUGAAACUGUAAUACUAGAGUGCAGGAGAGGUAAGUGGAAUUCCUAGUGUAGCGGUGAAAUGCGUAGAUAUUAGGAGGAACACCAGUGGCGAAGGCGGCUUACUGGACUGUAACUGACGUUGAGGCUCGAAAGCGUGGGGAGCAAACAGGAUUAGAUACCCUGGUA